AUUGAACGCUGGCGGCAGGCCUAACACAUGCAAGUCGAGCGGAUGAAGAGAGCUUGCUCUCUGAUUCAGCGGCGGACGGGUGAGUAAUGCCUAGGAAUCUGCCUGGUAGUGGGGGACAACGUCUCGAAAGGGACGCUAAUACCGCAUACGUCCUACGGGAGAAAGCAGGGGACCUUCGGGCCUUGCGCUAUCAGAUGAGCCUAGGUCGGAUUAGCUAGUUGGUGAGGUAAUGGCUCACCAAGGCGACGAUCCGUAACUGGUCUGAGAGGAUGAUCAGUCACACUGGAACUGAGACACGGUCCAGACUCCUACGGGAGGCAGCAGUGGGGAAUAUUGGACAAUGGGCGAAAGCCUGAUCCAGCCAUGCCGCGUGUGUGAAGAAGGUCUUCGGAUUGUAAAGCACUUUAAGUUGGGAGGAAGGGCAGUAAAUUAAUACUUUGCUGUUUUGACGUUACCGACAGAAUAAGCACCGGCUAACUCUGUGC
rnacentral:rRNA from 1 species